GAUGAAGAACGUAGCGAAAUGCGAUACUUGGUGUGAAUUGCAGAAUCCCGCGAAUCAUCGAGUUUUUGAACGCAAGUUGCGCCCGAAGCCAUUCGGCCGAGGGCACGUCUGCCUGGGUGUCACGCAUCGUUGCCCCCCCAAACUCCGGUUCGGGCGGGGCGGAAGUUGGCCUCCCGUGCGUGCCUGCGCGCGCGGUUAGCCCAAAAGCGAGUCCUCGGCGACGAGCGCCACGACAAUCGGUGGUUUUUUUACCCUCGUUCCUCGUCGUGCGUGUCCCGUCGCCCGAACGCGCUCUUGCGACCCUCACGCGUCGCCUCGGCGGCGCUCCCAACGCGACCCCAGGUCAGGCGGGACUACCCGCUGAGUUUAAGCAUAUCAAUAACGGAGG
rnacentral:misc_RNA from 1 species